rnacentral:rRNA from 1 species
UACGGAGGAUGCAAGCGUUAUCCGGAAUGAUUGGGCGUAAAGCGUCCGCAGGUGGCUGUGUAAGUCUGCUGUUAAAGAGUCUAGCUCAACUAGAUAAGAGCAGUGGAAACUACACGGCUAGAGUACGUUCGGGGCAGAGGGAAUUCCUGGUGUAGCGGUGAAAUGCGUAGAGAUCAGGAAGAACACCGGUGGCGAAGGCGCUCUGCUAGGCCGUAACUGACACUGAGGGACGAAAGCUAGGGGAGCGAAUGGG